rnacentral:tRNA from 1 species
AUAUAGAUGCCAGAGAUAUAUGGGUUGAUUUUAAGCGUCAAAUACAGGCUUGUUCCUUCUAUAUU